UGUGUAGAAGAGACAGAUCAUGGCCCUUACGAGUAGGGCUACACACGUGCUACAAUGGCGUAUACAAAGAGAAGCGACCUCGCGAGAGCAAGCGGAACUCAUAAAGUACGUCGUAGUCCGGAUUGGAGUCUGCAACUCGACUCCAUGAAGUCGGAAUCGCUAGUAAUCGUAGAUCAGAAUGCUACGGUGAAUACGUUCCCGGGCCUUGUACACACCGCCCGUCACACCAUGGGAGUGGGUUGCAAAAGAAGUAGGUAGCUUAACCUUCGGGAGGGCGCUUACCACUUUGUGAUUCAUGACUGGGGUGAAGUCGUAACAAGGUAACCGUAGGGGAACCUGCGGUUGGAUCACCUCCUUA
rnacentral:rRNA from 1 species